rnacentral:rRNA from 1 species
GAUGAACGCUGGCGGCGUGCUUAACACAUGCAAGUCGAACGAAGCACCUUGAUUUGAUUCUUCGGAUGAAGAUCUUGGUGACUGAGUGGCGGACGGGUGAGUAACGCGUGGGUAACCUGCCUCAUACAGGGGGAUAACAGUUAGAAAUGACUGCUAAUACCGCAUAAGACCACAGCACCGCAUGGUGCAGGGGUAAAAACUCCGGUGGUAUGAGAUGGACCCGCGUCUGAUUAGGUAGUUGGUGGGGUAACGGCCUACCAAGCCGACGAUCAGUAGCCGACCUGAGAGGGUGACCGGCCACAUUGGGACUGAGACACGGCCCAAACUCCUACGGGAGGCAGCAGUGGGGAAUAUUGCACAAUGGGGGAAACCCUGAUGCAGCGACGCCGCGUGAGCGAUGAAGUAUUUCGGUAUGUAAAGCUCUAUCAGCAGGGAAGAAAAUGACGGUACCUGACUAAGAAGCACC